GCCCCGGAGGUCCCUCGGGAGGACGGCGGGUCACCCCGGAGGAAGCAAGGAGGAGCCACCUGGGCUGCAUGCACUGAGAGUGGUCCCCAAGGCUGGGAGUGUGCUCAGCCACCAAGCGCGGGUUCCUGGUGAACUGCGGUGACAGGCUGCUUCCCUGAGCUGGGUCCUGUGUCCUCCAUCAGAUCUGCUGCCAUUCAGUUCCAGUUUGUCCCCAAGCACGAGAAGAAGAAUCUGCUGUUAAUAAAGAAGCUUGCCACCCAUCACGUCUCCGGGUCGUUCUUGCUGGCGAGAGCGACAAGUGGUGCCGAAACCCGGGAAUCUUACGUGCCGCGGAGAGGUGAGUGAGGUGAGUAACGAUCUGUGAAAGUGUGCACCUAGAUCUGUCAGUGGACAGGGAAGUUUCCUAGAGACGAGAAUAUUGUGAUUGUGAUAAAGUUCCUAGGAACGAGAAGUUAAAGUUUCCUCAGAAUGGGGAACGAGGUUGCUAGAUGUAGAA